AGAUGUGGCUGCAGGCCUGACUCUGCGCCCUCGCCGAGCAGAGGGCCUCUGAGAGUGCCAACUGUGGACCUCCCAGACAAAACCCUCCUUGAGCAUUUCAAAAAGGAAAAAUUAAAACAUUUCAAAGGUUUAAAAUUUGGUAAAAGGAAGGAACACAAAAUUCUACUAAUUGAAAUGAGUUUGGUUGGCUCAGAGAGACAUUACUCUUAGAUACUGAAUGUCUGAGUUUCCCAGGGAGAGGAGAGAAAUGAGUCCCAAUCCCUCAAUCUUUUUGUUCUCAGCGUCGGAGCAGAGACAAGAGGAGAAGGAAAGGUGGGACACAGGAAGGUUUGAGAUAUUACCACAGGGAAGAGCAGGAGAAAAGGAGGCUGAUUUCUGUCCUGAAAAGCUCCCUGGGCCAGCAUCAUGAUACCACCCACU